rnacentral:rRNA from 1 species
GAUGAACGCUGGCGGCGUGCCUAAUACAUGCAAGUCGAGCGAACAGACGAGGAGCUUGCUCCUCUGACGUUAGCGGCGGACGGGUGAGUAACACGUGGAUAACCUACCUAUAAGACUGGGAUAACUUCGGGAAACCGGAGCUAAUACCGGAUAAUAUAUUGAACCGCAUGGUUCAAUAGUGAAAGACGGUUUUGCUGUCACUUAUAGAUGGAUCCGCGCCGCAUUAGCUAGUUGGUAAGGUAACGGCUUACCAAGGCAACGAUGCGUAGCCGACCUGAGAGGGUGAUCGGCCACACUGGAACUGAGACACGGUCCAGACUCCUGCGGGAGGCAGCAGUAGGGAAUCUUCCGCAAUGGGCGAAAGCUUGACGGAGCAACGCCACGUGAGUGAUGAAGGUCUUCGGAUCGUAAAACUCUGUUAUUAGGGAAGAACAGAUGUGUAAGUAACUAUGCACGUCUUGACGGUACCUAAUCAGAAAGCCACGGCUAACUACGUG